rnacentral:misc_RNA from 1 species
AAUAAUAAAUAUAGUUAGUGCUUAGAGAAAAGGCCAACCAUUUCAUAAAUGCUUAAAUGAGAUAUUUACCAAUUACUACUCAAUCUUUGUUAUCUUCUACCUUAAUAAAACUUUUGGUUGGGUUGAUUAUUUGUUUGAUUUUUGGACAAACAUGCAACUAGUAUUUAGGAAUAUAUCCAAAGGAAGUAAUUGCUUACCCAGUGCUGUACAAACCCUUUAAUGCUUUAUUUCCUUGAUUCUUGCUUGGGCACAAGGCUUUAUUUUUGGAGAUAUAACCUAAAUAUUUUUAAGUUGUUUCUUCACUUUCACCUUGGAGCUUGAGAGUAUCUUGAGCUUUGCCAUAAGUUUUGCUCCCUCUGGCCUGCAAAGAUAGACUUACUUUUAUUUUCACAUAAUUUAAGAAAAU